AAUUGUUUUUGACCACAGGUGACC
rnacentral:piRNA from 1 species